AUUGAACGCUGGCGGCAGGCCUAACACAUGCAAGUCGAACGAGUGGCGGACGGGUGAGUAAUGUCUGGGAAACUGCCCGAUGGAGGGGGUUAACUACUGGAAACGGUAGCUAAUACCGCAUACCAUCGGAUGUGCCCAGAUGGGAUUAGCUAGUAGGUGGGGUAACGGCUCACCUAGGCGACGAUCCCUAGCUGGUCUGAGAGGAUGACCAGCGAGACUGGAACUGUGCAACGGUCCAGACUACUACGGGAGGCAGCAGUGGGGAAUAUGGGACAAUGGUCGCAAGCCGUAUGCAGCCAUGCCGCGGGUAUGAAGAAGGCCUUCGGGUUGUAAAGUCCUUUCAGCGAGGAGGCGUUACUCGAAUAAGAAGCACCGGCUAACUCCGUGACAGCAGCCGCGGUAAUUC
rnacentral:rRNA from 1 species